UAGCGAUUCACGGAGAGGAAAAGCGAACAAAAAGAGAAAAACCGAGGGUUAAACUGGGGAAAAAAGGGAAAGCCAGCGAACUUACCUCCUGGAAGUCUGGAGCUGAGUGACUGGAUGAAGGAGAGAACUAACGUCGGUGUCUGACAGGCUAACCACUCACUUUCCAUCCGGAGAGCUGCUGCCGCUGUGAUACUGGUGUGUUCAGCUUUAAAACACAGAGCAACGAUCAGAUUUUUGGAGAAGACAGGAAAGUCCGAGGUCCAGGACGAGACUGCGGUCGUGACAGAUGG